rnacentral:rRNA from 1 species
CAAUAGCGUAUAUUAAAGUUGUUGCGGUUAAAAAGCUCGUAGUUGGAUUUCGGCGGACAGGGGGCGGUUCGAUAUUUGUCGCUACUGCCCCAUUUGUCCGUGUUUUUGGCGGAGGUUUCAGGGUGCUCUUCACCGAGUGCCCUGGGAUGCCGUCAGGUUUACUUUGAAAAAAUUAGAGUGCUCAAAGCAGGCUUUACACGCUUGAAUAUUCGUGCAUGGAAUAAUGGAAUAGGACGUCGUUUCUAUUUUGUUGGUUUUCGGAAAUCGACGUAAUGAUUAACAGGGACAGUCGGGGGCAUUAGUAUUCAGACGACAGAGGUGAAAUUCUUGGACCGUCUGAAGACUAACUACUGCGAAAGCAUUUGCCAAGAAUGUUUUCAUUAA